CAGUAGCCGCGGUAAUACGAAGGGGGCUAGCGUUACUCGGAAUUACUGGGCGUAAAGGGCGCGUAGGCGGCGCUCCAAGUUAGGCGUGAAAGUCCUGGGCUCAACCUGGGAACUGCGCUUAAGACUGGAGUGCUUGAGGAUGGAAGAGGGUUGUGGAAUUCCCAGUGUAGAGGUGAAAUUCGUAGAUAUUGGGAAGAACACCGGUGGCGAAGGCGGCAACCUGGUCCAUUACUGACGCUGAGGCGCGACAGCGUGGGGAGCAAACAGGAUUAGAUACCCCCGUAGUCCCUGUCUCUUAUAC
rnacentral:rRNA from 1 species